CUCGUUCGCACGUUAGAUGGAUGUCACGGUCAUCACAGCCGUGAAGCGACGAGCUGUUUAUUCAAGUGGAAAUAGGAGGUCAGGUAUUUUUCCUAGAAAAUGUCAGCAGUGCUGAAUACGCUGUGCACAGAAAGCUCCGUCAUAAUUUACUAAUGUGGUUACAGAGAAGUACAGCUGGGCCCCUGAGAACAGUUUUUCAUUGAAAAACCUGCAAAUGUGCUGCUGCUUUUGCUUGAUAAGCCAUACCCUGUUCAUCAAAACUGACGCAGCUGUUUUGCACGUAACAAAAGGAUGGCUCGUGUUUGCUUCAGAUCAAGAAUAUGCAGCUAUGUGAGAAGGCAUGCCGCUACGAUAGAUGACUUCAAGAGAAGCCCAAGCAACGCUUCAGAAUCCAAAGAGUUCGCGAAAUGGAAAAGUGGCAUAUUGCCUUCUAUAUAUUACGUGUAAAAUAAACCUGAAGCACUAAAA